GCUUCGACAACAGAACUGGAAACGUUAUCAUUUCAUAUGAUAUCGAGUCAAUCUCGUGAAAAUGGUGUGUAUAUAGACGGCAAUGUAUUGAUUUGCAGUUUUUUUUUAUUUCAGAGCACAUCACAAGAAAGUCAAGACACGAAAGAUGCAGCUUGCUAAACAGAUGCUUCCAGUGUGGCAUCUAGGAGGACACAACUGUCUCAUAAGACAUUAAGACCUCACAUAUCAUACAAGGUUGUAUCUUGCAGCCACAACGGAAGACAGCCAAGGGGAAACUAAUGUCCAGACGUCUGUUCCCAAAGGCCAAAAGGGGAGGUUACACCGUCAAACAAGUGAAGACGGAGCCAACAAUUUGCUAUGUCUUAGACCGGAUGAGACUGGUGUUCGAGGAGAUCAUCCAUCCCCCUUCCUUAUCUGGAAGCAGUCCGGCAGAUUCAUGGGCCCCAGGACCUGUGUGCUCAGCUCGACAGACACCCAACCCGACAUACUGCCCUGAAGCCUCCAGAAACUCCCUCCGUAUACGCAGCAC